GACGAACGCUGGCGGCGUGCCUAAUACAUGCAAGUCGAGCGAGACUCUUCGGAGUCUAGCGGCGGACGGGUGAGUAACACGUGGGCAACCUGCCUGUAAGACUGGGAUAACACCGGGAAACCGGUGCUAAUACCGGAUAAUCCUUUUCCUCUCAUGGGGAAAAGCUGAAAGUCGGUUUCGGCUGACACUUACAGAUGGGCCCGCGGCGCAUUAGCUAGUUGGUGAGGUAACGGCUCACCAAGGCGACGAUGCGUAGCCGACCUGAGAGGGUGAUCGGCCACACUGGGACUGAGACACGGCCCAGACUCCUACGGGAGGCAGCAGUAGGGAAUCUUCCACAAUGGACGAAAGUCUGAUGGAGCAACGCCGCGUGAGCGAUGAAGGCCUUCGGGUCGUAAAGCUCUGUUGUUAGGGAAGAACAAGUACCGGAGUAACUGCCGGUACCUUGACGGUACCUAACCAGAAAGCCACGGCUAACUACGUGCCAGCCGCCGCAGUAAGAC
rnacentral:rRNA from 1 species